UACGUAGGGUGCAAGCGUUGUCCGGAAUUAUUGGGCGUAAAGAGCUCGUAGGCGGUUUGUCGCGUCGAAUGUGAAAACCCGGGGCUCAACCCCGGGCCUGCAUUCGAUACGGGCAGACUAGAGUUCGGUAGGGGAGUCUGGAAUUCCUGGUGUAGCGGUGAAAUGCGCAGAGUAUCAGGAGGAACACCGAUGGCGAAGGCAGGUCUCUGGGCUGACACUGACGCUCAUGCACGAAAGCGUGGGGAGC
rnacentral:rRNA from 1 species